AAAGCCUCCUUCGGGGGGCAAGUAGAGUGGCGCACGGGUGAGUAACACGUAGGUAAUCUACCUUUGGAUUGGGAAUAACCACCGGAAACGGUGGCUAAUACCGAAUAAUGCAGCGGCACCUAAUGGUGACAGUUGUUAAAGCGGGGGAUCGAAAGACCUCGCGUCUGAAGAGGAGCCUGCGGCAGAUUAGCUAGUUGGUAAGGUAACGGCUUACCAAGGCGAUGAUCUGUAGCCGGCCUGAGAGGGCGGUCGGCCACACUGACACUGACAUACGGGUCAGACUCCUACGGGAGGCAGCAGUCGGGAAUUUUGGGCAAUGGGCGAAAGCCUGACCCAGCAACGCCGCGUGAAGGAUGAAAUCCUUCGGGAUGUAAACUUCGCAAGAACGGGAAGAAUAAGUAAGGGUUAAUAUCUCUUACGAUGACGGUACUGUUUGUAAGCUCCGGCUAACUCCGUGCCAGCAGCCGCGGUAAUACGGGGGGAGCAAGCGUUGUUCGGAUUUACUGGGCGUAAAGGGCGCGUAGGCGGCCACCGCAAGUCGACUGUGAAAUCUCCGGGCUUAACCCGGAAAGGUCAGCCGAUACUGCGGGGCUAGAGUGCAGAAGGGGCAACUGGAAUUCUCGGUGUAGCGGUGAAAUGCGUAGAUAUCGAGAGGAACACCUGCGGCGAAGGCGGGUUGCUGGGCUGACACUGACGCUGAGGCGCGAAAGCUAGGGGAGCGAACGGGAUUAGAUACCCCGGUAGUCCUAGCCUUAAACGAUGAAUGCUUGGUGUCUGGGGUUUUAUAGUCCCCGGGUGCCGUCGCUAACGCUUUAAGCAUUCCGCCUGGGGAGUACGGUCGCAAGACUGAAACUC
rnacentral:rRNA from 1 species